UUCACAGACUGCAGUUUUGUUUUGCUCCGAUGUGGUGUGCAAAUACUAGCCGUAUCUGCAAAGGGUUGUGCAGCAUUAACAUUUUGUAACUCUGAUUUUGUUUUGACAGACUGUGCAAAGGACCUUGAGAACAUCACCACUCUACAGGAAGACACAGUCCAGUAAUGGGUGUCAGAUGUUCAGCAGUGGACGACAGGACCAACCAAUCAAAAUGACUUGCAGAACGCCAUUGAGGACUCUAUUUGAGCAUUAAGCAGCAAAGAUUUAAGCUGUAUCGUCAGGCUGGUGAGACAACAAGAUGCCAACUUUAAUGCCAAUUUCUUUGUGUAACAUACUGUGACAAAAUGUAUUGAUUACUAUUUGUAGAUUGUAAAAAUAGCUAACCCAUUUAUAAAAAAAACAAAACUAGAAUUACCGCACUGCGGUUGUAUGACUCCGCUAACCAGUGCAGUUUCUGUGUACAUAUCUCUACAUACUUUUUCUCAUAUAAAUGUCACUGUAACCUCGACAACUGAAACCGUAAGAUGAGGUCAUUGUGGCCUUGACCUUUUGACUUUAAGGCAAAUAGUCAGAUGGACAACCCGAAAACAUACAGUUAUGCCUCCGGCAACUGGCUAUUGCAGAGGCAUUAAAAUGUUAGUGUUUGGUUUCACAUUCUAGAUGGCAAUAAGUAGAGACAUCAACUCAGGAAAAAGAUUUCUGUAGAAAAGAAAGCCUUGUAUGUGUGUGUAUAUAUACAUACACACAAACGCACUAUUAAAACGUUUUGUUUUUUAUCAUAUAUUCUCAGGCAGUACUGAGGCAUUUACGGAGACGGGACAUGAGGGUCUACUCUGCGUGCUCAAGAGAAGAUUGCACAAAGUUAAAGCUCAGCAGGCUGCAGUGGGUCCGACAUAUUCUGGAACGGCAACAAUGUCUUUGGAUGACUCCUCCUCGGAAGAGGAAAACAUGGAGAGUUACUUCUUCGCUGCUCAAGAACUGCGAGUGCUGUGAUUAGUUCUUCUCAAGUGAAGCUGUACCACUGUGCUCCAGCUCCACACUCCCUCCAGCAGCCUCCGCUCCUGAUGCUAACCUCCUGUCUCCAUCACACCAAGCAGCAAACCUGGAGUGACAGAACUUUCUCCAUAGCUGCCCCCUCCCUCUGAAACCCCCUCUCCCAAACACUAUUUUUGUAUUUUUUUGCAUGAGAAUUGUUGAUCAUAUAAUUUCC